UAGGAUCCCAUUCAGUUCUAAUGUUCUAUAAUUAUGUAUUCUCUCUGUUUCACUCACUUCUAAAUCUCUUAUUUUUCCAACAGGAAUUGAGGCAGUCCAACAGCAGAAGUAUUUCAGGAUGUGGGCUGAAGAGCAGAGUGAGAUGAUACAGGAGAGACUCCAAACCAAGAGAAGCACACAGAGGAUUCAGCAUUGAAAACCAAGCCCAGGAAGAGCUCACAGACACAGGAGACUUGCAAGGAGCAGAUCUGGCUGGGAGCAGAGGCAUUGCUUGUACUCCUGUCUCAAAGUGCUCGGUGACAGGGCACAUCAGGAAUACCUAGACAAGCCCUAGGACAAGAAGCCCAGGGAAUCCACCCUGAAAAUACUUAAAGCUAGCCACAUCAUCCAAGAGAAGGGCUUCAGUAACGGUCUGGAAGCAUCCAUGAAGAUUAUAUUUGCCUCCUUCUUAAACAUUGCCAUCUGAGAAGUCUGCCUUGCAGCUAGAAAUCAGGAUAUUCGUGGGAGCUGAAUGGGAAAGAUAAUUUAUGUAUUUUUUUUUCAAAAGUUGUACCACUUCAUAGGGGCAAGCCUGUUGAAGAUCCACAAGCAAUCAGAUAAAGUGAAGGAUUUAGCAGAAAAUUGGAAGAACAAGACUCUUUUUGCAUCAGAUGAGGGGAAGCUGAGAACCUGGGAGAAGUGAAUUGAUGCCCCUGGAAAUCUGACCAGAUGGAUGGCCACUUUGCUUUGCUUGCAGCCUUUUCUCCUCUCCUGGUGAUGCAUUCUUCAAUCCUGGUGGGGGAAUAAGAAGCAAGUUAAUACUUGUCUUUCCUGCACACACCCCAGUCUAUAAUACAUCUGAAUUCUGAACAUCCCAACAUGGGUCAAAAUACCCAGUUCUUACAGAGACACAUGUAAGAGAACAAGGACUGGAUGUAUUAUGACUUUACAAUGCAGCUUAAAAAUUAUCAGGCAUGUCUCCACCCCUUGUAUUUUAUGUUUCUUUACUCAGAUUAAUUCUGUGUACUCUUUUUCCUCCUACAUGAAUUUUGUGAUCAUUUUGUCAAGUUCAAGCAAUAUCUUUUAAGAUUUGGCUUCAAAUGUAUUUAGAUAUGUAGAUUAACUUGUACCUAUCAGGAUUUUGCCAUACUGUUUUCCUAUUCAGGUUUGUGAUAUCCACACAAUUUAUUUAUAUAUUAAAGAGUCAUUAAUAGUCACAAGCUAAAUUUUGCCUCCUUCCCAGAAGUCCUUCACAUUUCCUUUUUAGGUUAUUAUUUGAUAGUCCUGUUUAUACUCUUGGGAAUGAAAAUUGUUUUAAAUUAUAAUUACUCAUUCCUUUUCUUAAAAGGAAAGACUCUCAGAACACAUAUUGUCUAGGUUGUUAGUAUUUAAAUGGAUGGCCUCAGGAUUUUUACAUUCAGGGAAUUUUAAUUAAUGUUUAAAAAGUAAAUAUUAAUUAUACUUUUGAAACGUUUUUAAGUUUUAUCUUUAUUUAAUAAUGUAGGCACUUUUAAAUGACAUUCAAACUUUUAAAAUUAUCCACUGCUAAAUUUUCAGUAUCUGUAGUUAGAAAGAUCUCUGCUUUCUACUUAUUGUUGGUUGUAAUGAACAAUUCAGAAUUUCAAAGAUCUAAGUUUAUUCUCUAAAUUAAGUAUAUAGACACAAUUGGAUAUGUUUGGCUGAUUACUGUCUCACUGAAGUAUAAUUGCCUUUGUCCAUCCUUAUAAAGAUAUUUUUAGCAAUUCACAAUAAGAAAAAAAAUGUUCUGAAUAAGCUUUCAUUAGAACUUCCUAGGAGGGGCGCCUGGGUGGCUCAGUGGGUCAAGCUGCUGCCUUCGGCUCAGGUCAUGAUCUCAGGGUCCUGGGAUCGAGUNNNNNNNNNNNN
ensembl:lincRNA